GACGAAGGGCGCGGGUGUUAUUCGUGUUGAUUGGGUGUAAAGGGUACGCAGGCGGUUUUAGACAGCUUCCUUCUGGCCAACAAUGGUGGAGUGUUCCUAUACCAGAGCCGGUUAGAGCUAAAACUUGUGGUGAAGAGGGGUGGGGUUAAUUCCGUAUGUAGGGGUCUAAUCCUAAGAUAUGCGGACGAAUACCAACUAGCGAAGGCGCCUUUCCAGCUUGACCAGACGCUAAGGUACGGAAGCUUAGGUAUCAAACAGG
rnacentral:rRNA from 1 species